rnacentral:misc_RNA from 1 species
GUAAUAAUUUAAAAGGUUAUCAGAGAUUGAAUACUGUAAAUACAAGGGUUUAAGGGAUUCCUGGCGGCGGGCGAACCCACCGAGGAAACAACAGAGGUACACGUAGACAAAGGGUGGAUGCGACAGCCCCCAAAGGGACCGAAGCUUUCGUAAUUAAUGAUCCUUCCGCAGGUUCACCUACGGAAA